UACAGAGGUCUCAAGCGUUGUUCGGAUUCAUUGGGCGUAAAGGGUGUGUAGGCGGUUGGAUAAGUGUGGUGUGAAAUCUCCCGGCUUAACUGGGAGGGUGCGCUACAAACUGUCUGACUAGAGUGUGGGAUGGGAGAGUGGAAUUCCUGGUGUAGCGGUGAAAUGCGUAGAUAUCAGGAGGAACACCGGUGGUGUAGACGGCUCUCUGGACCAUAACUGACGCUGAGGAGCGAAAGCAUGGGUAGCAAACAGG
rnacentral:rRNA from 1 species